rnacentral:rRNA from 1 species
GAUGAACGCUGGCGGCGUGCUUAAUACAUGCAAGUCGAGCGAACAGACGCUGAUCUUGUGGGUCGCUCGAUUGCCGCACAGGUGAGUGACACAUGAGUAAACUCCACUUAAAUUUCUGGUAUAAUCUGGGAACUGCGGAUCAUACCCCGUAUAAUCUCCUGAAGCGUAUGGUGCGUUAGAGAGAUUCGGCGGUACGGGCUGGAUUGGCGGCUUAUGCGCUUGUUGGGCGGGUAGUGGCUGACAAAGGCUGUGACGGGUAGCCGGCCUGGGAGGGUGACCGGCCACAUGGGGACUGAGAGACGGCCCAGACGCCAACGGGAGGCAGCAGGGGGGAAUAUUGCAGAAUGGGCGGAAGCGUGAGGUAGCAACGCCGCGUGCGGGAUGACGGCCUUCGGGUGGUAAACCGCUUUCGCCGGUGACGAAGCGGGAGUGACGGUAAUGGGUAAAGAAGCACCGGCUAACUACGUG